GACGAACGCUGGCGGCGUGCUUAACACAUGCAAGUCGAACGGAAAGGCCCUGCUUUUGUGGGGUGCUCGAGUGGCGAACGGGUGAGUAACACGUGAGUAACCUGCCCUUGACUUUGGGAUAACUUCAGGAAACUGGGGCUAAUACCGGAUAGGAGCUCCUGCUGCAUGGUGGGGGUUGGAAAGUUUCGGGGGUUGGGGAUGGACUCGCGGCUUAUCAGCUUGUUGGUGGGGUAGUGGCUUACCAAGGCUUUGACGGGUAGCCGGCCUGAGAGGGUGACCGGGGGCAGGGGGGGAGAGAGAUGGGAGAGAGGCGGAAGGGAGGAAGAGGAGGGGGGGAUGGGGCACGGGGGGCGGGAGUGGGGAAGAGACGCGGCGGGGGGGAGGAGGGGGUGCGGGGGGUAAAAGCAGCUAGCAACCGUCGAAGACCGUGGGUGACGGUAGGGGGAAAAGAAGCACCGGCUAACUACGUG
rnacentral:rRNA from 1 species